rnacentral:rRNA from 1 species
ACGAACGCUGGCGGCGUGCCUAACACAUGCAAGUCGAACGAGGUCCAGGGGAGCUUGCUCCCUGACGACCUAGUGGCGAACGGGUGAGUAACACGUGAGAAACCUGCCUCGGAGUGGGGAAUAACUCGGGGAAACUCGAGCUAAUACCGCAUACCUUCACAUGAUCGCAUGGUCGAGUGAAGAAAGAAUUUCGCUCUGAGAGGGUCUCGCGGCCUAUCAGCUUGUUGGUGGGGUAACGGCCUACCAAGGCAACGACGGGUAGCUGGUUUGAGAGAACGGUCAGCCACACUGGGACUGAGACACGGCCCAGACUCCUACGGGAGGCAGCAGUGGGGAAUCUUGCGCAAUGGGCGAAAGCCUGACGCAGCAACGCCGCGUGCGGGAUGACGGCCUUCGUGGUUGUAAACCGCUUUCAGCAGGGACGAAAAUGACGGUACCUGCAGAAGAAGCCCCGGCUAACUACGU